rnacentral:rRNA from 1 species
CACACGACUCUCGGCAACGGAUAUCUCGGCUCUCGCAUCGAUGAAGAACGUAGCGAAAUGCGAUACCUGGUGUGAAUUGCAGAAUCCCGCGAACCAUCGAGUCUUUGAACGCAAGUUGCGCCCGAGGCCAUUCGGCUGAGGGCACGCCUGCCUGGGCAUCACGC